rnacentral:rRNA from 1 species
UACGUAGGGUGCAAGCGUUAAUCGGAAUUACUGGGCGUAAAGCGUGCGCAGGCGGUUAUGUAAGACAGAUGUGAAAUUCCCGGGCUCAACCUGGGAACUGCAUUUGUGACUGCAUAGCUGGAGUACGGUAGAGGGGGAUGGAAUUCCGCGUGUAGCAGUGAAAUGCGUAGAUAUGCGGAGGAACACCGAUGGCGAAGGCAAUCCCCUGGACCUGUACUGACGCUCAUGCACGAAAGCGUGGGGAGCAAACAGG